CUGAGCUGGAACCUGCAGCAGUCUUUCGACGGACUUUUGUAGUCUUUCUGAUUUUUUACGUUGGAGGCUGAAAGAACCACCUUCCUGAAUAUUUAUCAGAAUGUUUUAAGGGUAAAAAAUUGAGAAUGGAUCUCCUUAGAGAGGAAGGAGAGAGAAUGGCACAUCUAAAGGAUGCAAUCUAUCAUCCUAAACAUUGAGCACAGCCA